CUAAACUAACUCUUCUGCAGUGUGGAGUGAGCGCGCGUUCACGUCUAGAGGUGGAGCGAGACAGCGAGAACGCAUGCGGUGUGUUAGUGAAGGCAAGUAGGCAGCGGAGUGGGGACUUCAGCCACACAUGAGCGCGCAUAUGCGAGCGUGCAUGUGUCCCGACCCGGUACAUUUAUACGCUU